UACGUAGGGGGCAAGCGUUGUUCGGAUUUACUGGGCGUAAAGGGCGCGUAGGCGGUCGUGACAAGUCACUUGUGAAAUCUCCGGGCUUAACUCGGAACGGUCAAGUGAUACUGUCGGACUAGAGUACAGAAGGGGCAACUGGAAUUCUCGGUGUAGCAGUGAAAUGCGUAGAUAUCGAGAGGAACACCUGCGGCGAAGGCGGGUUGCUGGGCUGAUACUGACGCUGAGGCGCGAAAGCCAGGGGAGCGAACGGG
rnacentral:rRNA from 1 species